UACAGAGGUCUCAAGCGUUGUUCGGAUUCAUUGGGCGUAAAGGGUGCGUAGGCGGCGCGGUAAGUCGGGUGUGAAAUUUCGGAGCUUAACUCCGAAACUGCAUUCGAUACUGGCGUGCUUGAGGACUGGAGAGGAGACUGGAAUUCAUGGUGUAGCAGUGAAAUGCGUAGAGAUGUGGAGGAACACCAGUGGCGAAGGCGGCUUUCUGGUCUGUAACUGACGCUGAGGCGCGAAAGCGUGGGGAGCAAACAGG
rnacentral:rRNA from 1 species